GGAGUGCUGUAGCUCAGUGGUAGAGCAUCUCCUUUACAUGCAGAAGGUCCAAAGUUCAAUCCCCGGCAUCCA